rnacentral:lncRNA from 1 species
AAUAUAUGUGAAGACAUAAUAUUCCUCAUGAAUAGAUAAAAGCUUGAACUAUUUAAAAAUGACUCACUGUGAACUAUUAGACUAAUUCCCCAUAGAAAUAAGCGUUCUUGUGAAGUUUUCAGCCCAUAUUUGCGGAGACAUGUCAUUUGGACACACACACACACACACACACACACACACAGAAAUUACUGGAAUCAUGGGUAAAUGAGAAACCUUUCUGAAAUUUGCCUGUCCUUCCUUUCUGGUCACUUUUCUUCAGUUACAGAAAUGUGUGAUAUUUCCAUUCUUUUUAUAUGGUGCAAGCAGGUGGCCUGGGAUGCAAAGGGAAGAUCUCCUUUCACAAGUCUGGAACGUUCUCCAAGCUGGAUCAGCAUAAAAUGAGACUACUCCACUGCCCUCCAGUUUGUGGGAGAUGGAUGGUACUUUCUAUCACAUUGUUUGGUUUGGCUGCAUAUUUUACUUGGGGCUGCCCCAGACUGUGGGCACAGUGUGCUGAGGCUCCAGACCACUGGUCAUCAUGUGGCCUGCCAUGCUAGGAGCAUGCUGCCAGCACACAACCCUUGACCAGAAAUCACUUAGGGAUCUUCCACUUCAGAGAUUAAGCACAUCUAUGUCACCAAGAAAGGAAAAAGAGCAGGAAUGUGCGAUGUCAUUGUUCUGAAAAUGCUGAGCAGGAGUACAACGCUCCAGGUGCUUCCCAGUGAUGGAAACACAAGAGGAAAAGAAGAGGAUGUUAGAGGAUGUAAGAUGUACUGAAAAAAGAAGUGAACUGUAGACCAAUCUGGGAUUAUGUGAUGGUUCUGCAUGACCCCUGCAUUGAGUCUGCUCCCUGUGCAGAGCCUUGCAUGCAGUGAGUCACCAGAGAAGAUAGAGU